CUGGGAAGUCCAAUAUCAAGGAACCAGUAGAUACAGUAUCUGGUGAGGGCCCUCUUCAUAGACUGUUGUCUUCUCAUUGCAACCUCACAUGGCAGAAGGGAUGAGAGAACUCUUUGGGGUCUCUUUUAUGGAAUGCUGAUCCCAUUUAAUUCAUGACAGCUUCAUUCUCAUGACCAUAAUCCCCCAAGGCCUCAUUUUCAAAUACCAUCACAAUAGGGAUUAUGUUUCUCAACAUGUGAGUUUUAUGGGGAUACAAACAUUCAGUCUAUAGCAAUUUAUAAGAAGAAAAUUUCUUCAUGGUCAUCUUCUCAGACUCUCAGGUCACUGUGGAACUUGACAGUUCCAGAGAAGUUGUCCUCUAGGAAGUCUUUUCUCUAGUAAAGCCUAAUGGAUAUAUUUCAGAGGCCAAGCCUAAAGUUUCUGUCAUAUUUGCCAUAUGUAUCUUAACGACUUCUAGAUUAUCAGAGUCACCAAGGCUCUUAGAGGACUCCCCCCACAACCCUGAUGAUUCUUGUGUGUAGACACAUGCACAUAUGCACAUAAACACAUACUCUCACACACUUACCCUCAAAGCACCUUGCAAUGAUGGUGGAAGACAGAGAAGCAGAGAGAGGCUUAUUUCCUACCAAGGCCACACAGCAAGUCAGUGACGAAGCUGGAACUUGAAUCUAAUCUCCUGAUUCCUUGUGUGGUGGUGUUUUCAGUAAUGUACAACAUAUUCCUUCAGCCUCCUGCCUGUCUCUGCCUAAUUGCUAUUAUUUGUGAUACUGCAGUGACUUGCUUUUUGUAUGUAAUAAAAAGUCUAUAUCUAAAUAAGGUAGUGAGACUACCUUGGGGAGGUCAUCCAAAUCCCAGUCAGGCAGUGGGUGAGUGCUGGGGAGUCUCACCAGGAAAGCAGUAAGACAUGGAUACUCCAUGGCUUGAUGAUUAUUACGAUUGGUAGCCCAGUUUCACAGGUUCCCUAAUAUAGGUUUUUUGUGCAUUUUACAUGCCCAAGAAGUUGACUAGGUAGCAAAAGCAUCUGUUUAAAAGCUAAGGUGGCUUGAUGAGGCAUACUCCUGGGACCAAAAGAUCAAAUGUAGGGCUGGAUGGAUUUGUGCCUACCUGUCAGUAGGCGGCAUUGAAAAUAAACUAGUUAAAAAGU